rnacentral:rRNA from 1 species
CAGUAGCCACGGGAAUACGUAGGUGGCAAGCGUUGUCCGGAAUUAUUGGGCGUAAAGCGCGCGCAGGCGGAUAGGUCAGUCUGCCUUAAAAGUUCGGGGCUUAACCCCGUGAUGAGAUGGAAACUGCCAAUCUAGAGUGUCGGAGAGGAAAGUGGAAUUCCUAGUGUAGCGGUGAAAUGCGUAGAUAUUAGGAAGAACACCAGUGGCGAAGGCGACUUUCUGGACAAAAACUGACGCUGAGGCGCGAAAGCGUGGGGAGCAAACAGGAUUAGAUACCCCUGUAGUCCCUGUCUCUUAUACA